CUUCCUUUUUCUCGCUCGUCUGCCCACCAUUCGCGAAUGUGACCCGUUCCCCAUUUUCUCCCCCACGAUGCCGCCGCCUCCAGCUCCUGCCACCGUCGUACGCCGCCGCCGCACCGCGCCCGCCGCCACAGCGCGCCCGCCGCCGCACCAUACCCGCCUCCUGGACAGAAUCCCUACCAGCGCCACGCCUCUCUGCCCCCAAUCGAGAUUUCGUGGCUAACCCUAGCCUCGAGGCUCACGCUCGCCGGCGCUGCUCCGACAUCCGCCACUCGCCUGCGCCGCCCGGAGACAAGCGCCUCCACCAGUUCCACGCCCCUGCCCUACCACCACGCCUCCUAGUCAAGCUCCGGUGUUGGCUCGGGCUGCUGGUGUUGCUGCCCGCAUCUCGGGCUGCCAGCGUUGCUCCCCGCACCAGCGCCUCCGGCUCCACCCUCGAUGCCCCGAGUUCUUCUUCGUAGAGCUCGCCCUCUGGUGCACCUACUACUCCAACCCGACGCCAUAACCUUCAACAUCGAGCCCCAGAUCGGUGUGGUGCUAAUGUUUGCCUAGGCUGGCUGUAGCCUCACGUCUGCGGGCUGUCGUGACGACACCUUCGUCACCGACUACAUCCAAUCAGGCUGGACCAUCAAGCGCGUCCGCACCGGCCAGAAGACCUUCUUCCAUGUCUCCAAAGAAACAAUAAAUGUGCAUAAUGCUUAUGUCAUGGAGUGAUCUAAAAUCACCUCCCCUGGGCUUUAUCUAAUGCCCUAUCAUGGAGCUGAGACCUGCUUUGCUGCGAGGCAUAUUUGUAUAAGUACAUAUGCGCAUGAGGUGUGGUCGACAAUUACCGGCACAACAUGAGCUAAAAGAAGGUGUCGGUGCCACCGCAAGAGAUGGUCUUGUUUGUUGUGAUGACGAGGAUUGAAGAGUUUGUAUCUUCAAAGUUGGCACGGAGCUUUCCUAAUGAGGUAUAAAUC